GAUGAACGCUGGCGGCGUGCCUAAUACAUGCAAGUCGAGCGAACGGACGAGAAGCUUGCUUCUCUGAUGUUAGCGGCGGACGGGUGAGUAACACGUGGAUAACCUACCUAUAAGACUGGGAUAACUUCGGGAAACCGUAGCUAAUACCGGAUAAUAUUUUGAACCGCAUGGUUCAAAAGUGAAAGACGGUCUUGCUGUCACUUAUAGAUGGAUCCGCGCUGCAUAGCUAGUUGGUAAGGUAACGGCUUACCAAGGCAACGAUGCAUAGCCGACCUGAGAGGGUGAUCGGCCACACUGGAACUGAGACACGGUCCAGACUCCUACGGGAGGCAGCAGUAGGGAAUCUCCCGCAAUGGGCGAAAGCCUGACGGAGCAACGCCGCGUGAGUGAUGAAGGUCUUCGGAUCGUAAAACUCUGUUAUUAGGGAAGAACAUAUGUGUAAGUAACUGUGCACAUCUUGACGGUACCUAAUCAGAAAGCCACGGCUAACUACGUG
rnacentral:rRNA from 1 species